rnacentral:rRNA from 1 species
UACGUAGGUGGCAAGCGUUGUCCGGAUUUACUGGGCGUAAAGAGCGCGCAGGCGGUCGAAUAAGUCGAAUGUGAAAGCCCCCGGCUCAACCUGGGGAGGGUCAUUCGAUACUGCUCGACUGAAGGCAGGAGAGGGUAGUGGAAUUCCCGGUGUAGUGGUGAAAUGCGUAGAUAUUCGGAGGAACACCAGUGGCGAAGGCGGCUCACUGGUCCGGUACUGACGCUGAAGUGCGAAAGCGUGGGGAGCGAACAGG